rnacentral:rRNA from 1 species
AGUGAACGCUGGCGGUAGGCCUAACACAUGCAAGUCGAACGGCAGCACAGUAAGAGCUUGCUCUUACGGGUGGCGAGUGGCGGACGGGUGGGGAAUACAUCGGAAUCUACUUUUUCGUGGGGGAUAACGUAGGGAAACUUACGCUAAUACCGCAUACGACCUACGGGUGAAAGCAGGGGAUCUUCGGACCUUGCGCGAUUGAAUGAGCCGAUGUCGGAUUAGCUAGUUGGCGGGGUAAAGGCCCACCAAGGCGACGAUCCGUAGCUGGUCUGAGAGGAUGAUCAGCCACACUGGAACUGAGACACGGUCCAGACUCCUACGGGAGGCAGCAGUGGGGAAUAUUGGACAAUGGGCGCAAGCCUGAUCCAGCCAUACCGCGUGGGUGAAGAAGGCCUUCGGGUUGUAAAGCCCUUUUGUUGGGAAAGAAAAGCAGCAGGUUAAUACCCCGCUGUUCUGACGGUACCCAAAGAAUAAGCACCGGCUAACUCCGUG